rnacentral:rRNA from 1 species
AGUGAACGCUGGCGGCAGGCCUAGCACAUGCAAGUCGAGCGGCAGCGCGUCCGACCACCCUCGGGUGGUCGGAUGGCGGCGAGCGGCGGACGGGUGAGGAAUGCAUCGGAAUCUGCCUCGUUGUGGGGGGAUAACGUAGGGAAACUUACGCUAAUACCGCAUACGACCUACGGGUGAAAGUGGGGGACCUUCGGGCCUCACGCGAUGAGAUGAGCCGAUGCCGGAUUAGCUAGUUGGCGGGGUAAAGGCCCACCAAGGCGACGAUCCGUAGCUGGUCUGAGAGGAUGAUCAGCCACACUGGAACUGAGACACGGUCCAGACUCCUACGGGAGGCAGCAGUGGGGAAUAUUGGACAAUGGGGGCAACCCUGAUCCAGCCAUGCCGCGUGUGUGAAGAAGGCCU